UCCAUGAUCACAUCCUAUGGUCUGGAGACUACACGUCCAAGAUCAAUGUGCUGGGAGGGUCCUGUUCCCUCUGAAGUCUCUGGGGAAGGAUCUGUUCCAGGCUUCUCUUCCAGCUUCUGGUAAACCGUAUACACCUAGCAGCAUGGCCCAGUUGCUCUGGUGGUAGGUUUGGUGCACCCAUGGAACAGAAAGAGGCCAGGCAGGCUCCCAUCAGGACCAAACCCCAUGAGCUACAGUGGCUGCCAUCUUUUGCCUGAAACACCAGUGUCCACUGGUGAUAAGGUUUUACUUUGAGAAAACUUUCUUUUGGCCUCCAAACUUUGUCCUGACAUUGAGAGGAUACACAGUUUUGUUUUGUUUUUUAAUGGAUUGUGUCAUCUUAAAUUUCUGGCCCUGACUAUUGAUCAGAGUCUAUGAUGAACUGGCAAAGAGAAAAUUAUCUCUGCUUGUUACUGGUAUCUUACACUGGCAAAGAACUGAACGAUUUCUGGAGUUCUUCAUCUUUUACAUGAGUCAGGAAAAUCACACAUUUGGAGCAACUAUCAGUAAUAAUGACAUUAAUAAUUACAUUUUAUUUUUGUGAAGGUUACAAAGCAAUAUUAUGCAAACUAGUUCCCAUCAAUAUCCUUGAACUUGGUAUUCUUUGAUUUAUAACUGUGUGAGUCAAAGAUUAUACUGUAAAAUCAUUAAAGACUAACACAAUAAACAUCAGCUAAUG
rnacentral:lncRNA from 10 species